CAACAGGGUCUGCAGCACAAGACUAGCCAAAAAAGCAAAAUAAUGGCUUGCAACAAUCCUGGAUCUGGAAGAGAUUAUGAUGACAAAGAAGUCUGGAAUAAACAAGAAACCUCAGAACCACCAUAACUGUGUCUGCUACAAUGUGUGUUCUUGCAGCCAGCUGAUUGAUUCAUUUUAUCAACUCUUGAAUGGUUGAUUAUCAGAACUGAAUUCAGAGCUGCUCCUGUCUGUAGUAUCAUUAUUAGAGUGGACUUCAGAAUGAGGGCGUUGCUUGUUUAAAAACUUCACUCCAUGAAGCUCUCCAAAUUCACCUCAAAUUAGACUGCUUCUGGAAACCAGAUUUGUUCCUUCAAGCAGAAACGCUUGUGGCUUUCCUGACUGGACUUCUAUGGAUUCUUCAUGCCAACCUUAAGGACUGUGGUCUUCUGCAUGAUACACGUCAAUUUCAAACAAGACAUUCUGUGGUGAAACACUUGAUGUACCGGUAGAUGAUAUGAAAUUUUAUUUCAUAUAACUGAAUCUCAGAAGUAAUUCCUCGGGAGCAAGAAACAUUGAAAAAAAUAAAAUAAAAGGUCCAUCAUUAAUGAAUGUCUUGAGCAGUGUUCUUUUUUGUGCACAGAUCAAUGGAUCUUUUCAAGUCCAAGCAGGGAUGUAGUCAAUGCUGACCUCGAUGCAACAUUUUGCUGGCCUUGGUCCGAGUCACUGUACAGAAUCUAUGGGAAGUUAUCUCAAGCUGCCUCAUGACUCGGAAGAAUCAGCCUCGACCUCAUCCCUGUAUGCAAGUGUGAUAUAUAUCUACGAUGCAAUCUCAUGAUUAAAGAGAGAGAAACAAGAGAGCUUCAGAUUUUGAAGUGUAGCAAUCUCCUGAAAUGUAUGUUUUAUUUGAAAAUCAAACUAAAAUAACUUAAUUGGGCAUGUUAUUCAUUAUGAUAUGUAUGAAUGAAAGCAUUUAAGCAAUUUAGUGCUCUUGCAAAACAAAUUCUGAGUUGUAUUAUUUUACUGCAAACCCUCAGACAUAUUGAUAAGCAUUUGCCAGUGCAUGAAGUGUUUUAAUAAAGAGUGGCUUUUGUGCCUAUGGAGAGUUAUUAUUUUUUCAAUAUUUCUUCAUACGAAUUAUUUCAGAAAUCACAAUUUGAAUAUUCCAUGACCUCUGAUAACAAGAGCAGAAUAUUUUUGGUGAUUGACACACUUUGAAAUGAUAUUAGGAGAGAAUGUAGUAAAGUUGUGUGAAAAUAAUGGCAUAAUUGCUGUAGAGGCCUACGAAGAUUGAAAAUAACAUUAUUUUAAGUUUUUCUUGAAAAAACCUAUGGAAAAUUGAAAAUGGCAUAAUUUACACAAGUUUUCC